UCCCCAAACUGAACAGGUUCUGACUAGCCCA
rnacentral:piRNA from 1 species